GUAGUCUGUGAUGACAAAGUUCUCAGUUGGCCUGAAUUCCUUUUUGGAAUAUGAGGGCAACUUAAGUCACUACCUCUUCUGAGACAC
ensembl:snoRNA